CCAGCUCAGGCUAGGAGCUUGCAUCCUGUUGCCCCAACCCAGUCCUUCAGAACAGAGUGUACUCAAAGCUCCAGGACAAAAAUCUGGAAGCAGAGAGCCGGCUUGCAUUUGGACUGAGGCUGAGUGAUGAAAAGAGCAGACAGAGAAAACAACAAGUUCAAAGUUCCUGAGGGCGACCCACCGGAGGGAGCUGCUGGAGGCUUAUGAGAAACAUAGAUUCUCAAGCCUUAUCCCAGGCUUCAUGAAUCAGAACCUUCCCUUGAAGAAGCUCCUGGUCAUCCGUGUGUUCCUAUCUUUGAACAGACACUGCCCUGAGCACCAAAUGAGUGGCUGUCAAUUUGGAGCCUGCAUAAGGACUUCUCACCCCGCCCCAUCCUCUGGAGGCAGGCUGCUGGCAACUGUGGCUGGCACAUCUGGUGCUCCUCUCUGCCUACCUUGAUGACUCAGACAAAUGACUGAGUCAGAUAGUUUGUCUCUCCAGCCCUUGAAUGCUGCCUGGAACAUAGCAGGCACUCGAUAAAUAUUCAGUGCAUGAAUGCUGAACAAAUCUUAUGCUAUCUUCUUUUUUCAAUUAAAGCACUGGGGUACAGGGGACCUCUGCUUCUGGACAUAAAUUGCAAGUUAUUUUGAAGGAUUUUUGUGUUCUUAGUAAAGACUCCUGGAAGAACUUCCAUUGUCUAAUGAGCAAUUACUG
rnacentral:lncRNA from 1 species